rnacentral:rRNA from 1 species
GGGCAAGAGCAACAGGGAUUGCCCCAGUAACGGCGAGUGAAGCGGCAACAGCUCAAAUUUGAAAUCUGGCCCCUCGGGGUCCGAGUUGUAAUUUGUAGAGGAUGCUUUUGGUGAGGUGCCGCCCGAGUUCCCUGGAACGGGACGCCACAGAGGGUGAGAGCCCCGUCUGGCUGGCCACCGAGCCUCUGUAAAGCUCCUUCGACGAGUCGAGUAGUUUGGGAAUGCUGCUCAAAAUGGGAGGUAUAUGUCUUCUAAAGCUAAAUAUUGGCCAGAGACCGAUAGCGCACAAGUAGAGUGAUCGAAAGAUGAAAAGCACCUUGAAAAGAGGGUUAAAUAGUACGUGAAAUUGUUGAAAGGGAAGCGCUUGUGACCAGACUUGGGCGCGGCGGAUCAUCCGGGGUUCUCUCCGGUGCACUUCGCCGCGUCUAGGCCAGCAUCAGUUCGUCGCGGGGGAAAAAGGCUUCGGGAACGUGGCUCCUCCGGGAGUGUUAUAGCCCGUUGCAUAAUACCCUGCGGUGGACUGAGGACCGCGCAUCUGCAAGGAUGCUGGCGUAAUGGUCACCAGCGACCCGUCUUGAAACACGGACCAAGGAGUCGUCUUCGUAUGCGAGUGUUCGGGUGUCAAACCCCUACGCGUAAUGAAAGUGAACGCAGGUGAGAGCUUCGGCGCAUCAUCGACCGAUCCUGAUGUUCUCGGAUGGAUUUGAGUAAGAGCAUACGGGGCCGGACCCGAAAGAAGGUGAACUAUGCCUGUAUAGGGUGAAGCCAGAGGAAACUCUGGUGGAGGCUCGCAGCGGUUCUGACGUGCAAAUCGAUCGUCAAAUAUGGGCAUGGGGGCGAAAGACUAAUCGAACCUUCUAGUAGCUGGUUUCCGCCGAGCCUCUCCCACAAAAAAAAUAAAAAAAA